AACGCUGGCGGCAUGCCUAACACAUGCAAGUCGAACGAGACUUCGGUCUAGUGGCGGACGGGUGAGUAACGCGUAGGAACCUACCAAGUAGUGGGGGAUAACAGCUGGAAACGGCUGCUAAUACCGUAUACGCCCUCCGGGGGAAAGAUUUAUCGCUAUUGGAUAAGCCCGCGUCGAAUUAGCUUGUUGGUGAGGUAAUGGCUCACCAAGGCGACGAUUCGUAGCUGGUCUGAGAGGACGACCAGCAUCACUGGGACUGAGACACGGCCCAGACUCC
rnacentral:rRNA from 1 species